UACGUAGGGUCCGAGCGUUGUCCGGAAUUACUGGGCGUAAAGAGCUCGUAGGUGGUUUGUCGCGUUGUUCGUGAAAACUCACAGCUCAACUGUGGGCGUGCGGGCGAUACGGGCAGACUAGAGUACUGCAGGGGAGACUGGAAUUCCUGGUGUAGCGGUGGAAUGCGCAGAUAUCUGGAAGAACACCAGUGGCGAAGGCGGUCAACUGGCCCAUAACUGACGCUCAGGCACGAAAGCGUGGGUAGCGAACAGG
rnacentral:rRNA from 1 species